rnacentral:misc_RNA from 1 species
AAGUCGUAACAAGGUUUCCGUAGGUGAACCUGCGGAAGGAUCAUUAACACGUAUCCACGUAUCUACCUCUUGUGAAUUUAUUAUUGUUUUGUAGUUGUUUCAGAUAUGACUAAGGAAGCAGAUGACCAUGUCGUUGGUUGUGAAAACAGCCACGUUCUGCUUGCCUAUCCAACCUAUUUUGCUGAGUGCUAGUGUAUGCUAGCAUAAAAACUCCUUAGGAUGGGUAUCUGAGAGAACUCGAAUCAUGGUGGUUAUUAUCUAUUAACCCCUUUUUUUAUUUUAUUGUCUUAGUGAGUGUUCAUUCUUUUUUUUUCAUUAAAAAGAGGUUGACCUCCCAAAAAAUUAACACUAUACAACUCUUAGCAACGGAUAUCUCGGUUCU